GCUCCAAUAGCGUAUAUUAAAAGUUGUUGCAGUUAAAAAAGCUCGUAGUUGGAUUUCUGGUGGGAGGGAACCGUCCGAUCUCAGAUUGGUGCGUGUUCCUCUCCGGCCAUCCUUGAGUCUAACCUCCUUGGCAUUAAGUUGUCGAGGUGGGGAUACUCAUCGUUUACUGUGAAAAAAUUAGAGUGUUUCAAGCAGCAUAC
rnacentral:rRNA from 1 species